rnacentral:tRNA from 1 species
AAGGUCUUAGCUUAAUUAAAGUAUCUAAGUUGCAUUUAGAGGAUAUAAAUUAAAGUUUUAUAGGUCUUU